CCUUCGAUAACUCAGUUGGUAGAGUGGAGGACUGUAGCGGAGUAGCAGACAUCCUUAGGUCGCUGGUUCAAAUCCGGCUCGAAGGA
rnacentral:tRNA from 1 species